AGAUUGGGCAGGCUUUUGUAUCAUACUUUAUUACCUAGUGAAAUGUAAUUUGAUCCAUUUGCAAGAGGAAGAACCAGAGAUGCUUGUUUCAGAAUUCAAUUGUUCCAGAAAGAUAAGAAAGAUGAGGACACACAUCAACUGUCUUUGCUUGAGAGUUAUUUUACAUGCCCUACCUCGAGAAAUGGAGUGUGCUGGUGAACUGACCUGCUGGGGUGUUUCUGAAUGUGGUCUCUAUCAUAUGACUGGCUGACUAUUAACCUAAGGGAGAUCGGGAUUAAAUCUCAAUCUGCUAACUUCUGUCAUUUAAGUAAAAUAAAUAAAUAAAUAAAUAAAU